CAGUUCAGUUUUAUUGGUUGCACGCACAGUCAGUUAUUUCAUCCAGAAAAUCUGAGGGCCCUACAAAGCUAACCAGGUCACAGGCRAAACAGCGGAGCACCAGAAGCCUUGAGGUGAGGCUUUCUACUGUGCAACCCAACCACUGAAAGUGCCGGCUAAAUAGUUUUGCAAGUGGCUACUAACACACGCGCUGCUUAAAUGAUAACUGUAAAUGAGAGAACACUGCGUUCCCUGCAAACCUGAAGACUUCUCUGCCAUUGUUUUAUGGGCAAAUAUGUGGUAUGUCACACAAUACAUGAUGCAAAGAAAGGAGAGGAAUGGGAGGCAAACGGAGCAGCUGUGCAGCGCCCCAACGCGUGACUGGGAUUUACCGUCUGGGCAGCGGUGCUGGGCUGCCAAGGGUUUCCGCCAGCGCUUCAUCUCCCACCUGCCUGCUGUGAGGUGCCCUCGCAGGACCUCCUCGCACUGUUCCACCCACAGGAUGAGGCGUAGAGGAGGCUUCUUAAAGAACAGCGUUUGAAAACACAUGCUUUCAGGCACUAACAUGUUUCUGGAUAACAAGUUUCUYUUAAAAGGAGUGUUGAAGUACGUGGAAACAUUUGAUUAGCUGAAGUUGUGCAAUGCUGCCUCUCCGCAAACAGUGAGAUACAAAACUUGGAGAAACUCUUCACUGCUGAAAAUGGUCRUGUCAUUUCCAGGGUGGAUGUACUGGAAAGAAAGAUUUGGUUUAAAUCAAGUCUAAAAUACAGCAACUGCCAACUCUCAGUUUUAAAUAGACUUUUUAAUUUUUUUUUCCUGUUCUGCUGACCUUUUCCAGUGUAAUUCCAUUCUGUUCAGUCUCUGGGUUUUUACAUUUACAUAAAAUCUUCCAACAGUAAAUUAAGUUACAUGGCUAAAAUCAGUCGUCUAUAGUUUGUUUUCUCUUUCUUAAUUCUAUCCCAUCCCUGAGAAAUGGGGGGAGGGUGGCUGGGAAUAAUAGGAAAGAAAGACUAUUAAUGCAGUAUUUCUGAUAUGGUGAGAAUGCAAAAGUACUGCAGCAGGCUCUUGUG
rnacentral:lncRNA from 1 species